CGAAGGGUGCAAGCGUUACUCGGAAUUACUGGGCGUAAAGCGUGCGUAGGUGGUGAGUUAAGUCUGUCGUGAAAGCCCCGGGCUCAACCUGGGAAUGGCGAUGGAUACUGGCUCGCUAGAGUGCGGUAGAGGAGAGUGGAAUUCCCGGUGUAGCAGUGGAAUGCGUAGAGAUCGGGAGGAACAUCAGUUGCGAAGGCGGCUCUCUGGACCAGCACUGACACUGAGGCACGAAAGCGUGGGGAGCAAACAGGAUUAGAUACCCUGGUAGUCCACGCCCUAAACGAUGCGAACUGGACGUUGGGAGCAACUAGGCUCUCAGUGUCGAAGCUAACGCGUUAAGUUCGCCGCCUGGGGAGUACGGUCGCAAGACUG
rnacentral:rRNA from 1 species